rnacentral:rRNA from 1 species
UGAGUAACACGUAUCCAACCUGCCGUCUACUCUUGGCCAGCCUUCUGAAAGGAAGAUUAAUCCAGGAUGGGAUCAUGAGUUCACAUGUCCGCAUGAUUAAAGGUAUUUUCCGGUAGACGAUGGGGAUGCGUUCCAUUAGAUAGUAGGCGGGGUAACGGCCCACCUAGCCAACGAUGGAUAGGGGUUCUGAGAGGAAGGUCCCCCACAUUGGAACUGAGACACGGUCCAA